rnacentral:rRNA from 1 species
UACAGGGGGUGCAAACGUUGCUCGGAAUCAUUGGGCGUAAAGCGCACGUAGGCGGUCUGUUAUGUCGGAUGUGAAAGCCCUUGGCUUAACUGAGGAAGUGCAUCCGAAACUGGCAGGCUAGAGUACUAAAGAGGGUCGCGGAAUUCCCGGUGUAGAGGUGAAAUUCGUAGAUAUUCGCAAGAACACCAGUGGCGAAGGCGGCUCACUGGCCCGGUACUGACGCUGAGACGCGAAAGCGUGGGGAGCGAACAGG